GAUGAAGAACGCAGCGAAAUGCGAUACUUGGUGUGAAUUGCAGAAUCCCGUGAACCAUCGAGUCUUUGAACGCAAGUUGCGCCCGAAGCCAUUAGGCCGAGGGCACGCCUGCCUGGGCGUCACACGUCGUUGCCCCCCCAUCUACUCCUUCGGGAUUGCGGGGAGCGGAUGAUGGCCUCCCGUGCGCCUCGUCGCGCGGUUGGCAUAAAUGCCAAGUCCUCGGCGACGCACGCCACGACAAUCGGUGGUUGCGAAACCUCGGUUGCCCGUCGUGUGCGGUCGUCGCGCAUCGAGGGCUCGAAAAAAUUGCCGGGCUCCGGCUCGGCUUUCAACGCGACCCCAGGUCAGGCGGGGUUACCCGCUGAAUUUAAGCAUAUCAAUAAGCGGAGGA
rnacentral:misc_RNA from 1 species